ACGACCUUACUUGAACAGGAUCUGUUCUAUAGGCUCGUACCAUUGUGUCCUUGAGUUCUAAGGAGACAAGAACCUAAACCUGGUUGAUGAAUCAUGACCGUGUAAUCAGAGCGUGAUUAACGGCGACGAUGAUCUCUCUUGGAGAGUUUCAUCUGUGGCAGUAGAGGAUCGUUCUCAGUUAGUGUCUAACACUAGCUGGGAUGGUUACACGGUUGUCUGAC
rnacentral:snoRNA from 1 species